rnacentral:tRNA from 1 species
GGCGCCGUAGCCAAGUGGUAAGGCAGAGGACUGCAAAUCCUUUAUCCCCGGUUCGAAUCCGGGCGGCGCCU